rnacentral:rRNA from 1 species
AGAGUUUGAUCCUGGCUCAGGACGAACGCUGGCGGCGUGCCUAACACAUGCAAGUGGAGCGACGAACCAGGGCUUGCCCUGGAGCAAAGCCGCGAACGGGUGAGUAACACGUGGGUAACCUACCCCAAUGACUGGGACAACCCGAGGAAACUCGGGCUAAUACCGGAUGUGCUCACCGUCCAUCAGGACGGUGAGGAAAGGAAGCUUCGGCCUCCGCAUCGGGAGGGGCCCGCGGCCCAUUAGCUAGUUGGUGAGGUAACGGCUCACCAAGGCUGCAAUGGGUAGCUGGUCUGAGAGGACGAUCAGCCACACUGGGACUGAGACACGGCCCAGACUCCUACGGGAGGCAGCAGUGGGGAAUCUUGCGCAAUGCGCGAAAGCGUGACGCAGCAACGCCGCGUGGGGGAAGAAGGCUUUCGGGUCGUAAACCCCUUUCAGUAGGGACGAAGGUGUGGCGGUGAAUAGCCGUCCACACUGACGGUACCUGCAAAAGAAGCCCCGGCUAACUACGUGCCAGCAGCCGCGGUAAUACGUAGGGGGCUAGCGUUGUCCGGAAUUAUUGGGCGUAAAGAGCACGUAGGCGGCCCGGUUAGUCCGCUGUAAAAGUCAAAGGCUCAACCUUUGAAUGCCGGUGGAUACUGCCAGGCUAGAGUCCGGAAGAGGCGAGUGGAAUUCCUGGUGUAGCGGUGGAAUGCGCAG